rnacentral:pre_miRNA from 1 species
GUGGUCUGGAAUUGAUGGUGUUCAGCACCAGGGACAGGAGUGUUUUGUGUGUGGAUGGUGUUCAAUACCAAGGACGGGUGUGUACGAAU